rnacentral:rRNA from 1 species
AAAUUGAAGAGUUUGAUCAUGGCUCAGAUUGAACGCUGGCGGCAGGCCUAACACAUGCAAGUCGAACGGUAACAGAAAGCAGCUUGCUGCUUUGCUGACGAGUGGCGGACGGGUGAGUAAUGUCUGGGAAACUGCCCGAUGGAGGGGGAUAACUACUGGAAACGGUAGCUAAUACCGCAUAACGUCGCAAGACCAAAGAGGGGGACCUUCGGGCCUCUUGCCAUCGGAUGUGC